rnacentral:rRNA from 1 species
UACGUAGGGGGCAAGCGUUGUCCGGAAUCAUUGGGCGUAAAGCGCGUGUAGGCGGCUCGAUAAGUCUGCUGUGAAAGUUCAGGGCUCAACCCUGAAAUGCCGGUGGAAACUGUCGGGCUAGAGUCCGGAAGAGGCGAGUGGAAUUCCUGGUGUAGCGGUGAAAUGCGCAGAUAUCAGGAGGAACACCAAUGGCGAAGGCAGCUCGCUGGGACGGUACUGACGCUGAGACACGAAAGCCAGGGGAGCAAACGGG